CGGCAAUGGAGGAAACUCUGACCGAGCAACGCCGCGUGAAUGACGAAGUACUUCGGUAUGUAAAGUUCUUUUAUCGAGGAAGAAAAGCAAAUGGCGAACCAUUUGUUUGCCGGUACUUGAUGAAUAAGCCCCGGCUAAUUAUGUGCCAGCAGCCGCGGUAAGACAUAAGGGGCAAGUGUUAUCCGGAAUUAUUGGGCGUAAAGGGUGCGUAGGCGGUCUAGUAAGUCAGUGGUGUAAUGGCAACGCUUAACGUUGUCCGGCUAUUGAAACUGCUAAACUUGAGUUAGAUAGAGGCGAGUGGAAUUCCAUGUGUAGCGGUAAAAUGCGUAAAUAUAUGGAGGAACACCAGAGGCGUAGGCGGCUCGCUGGGUCUUAACUGACGCUGAGGCACGAAAGCGUGGGGAGCAAACAGGAUUAGAUACCCUGGUAGUCCACGCCGUAAACGAUGAGUACUAAGUGUCGGGUUAAACCGGUACUGAAGUUAACACAUUAAGUACUCCGCCUGAGUAGUACGUACGCAAGUAUGAAACUUAAAGGAAUUGACGGGACUCCGCACAAGCGGUGGAUCAUGUUGUUUAAUUCGAAGAUACCCGAAAAACCUUACCAGGUCUUGACAUGUUUUUGCAAAAUGAUAGUAAUAUCGUGGAGGUUACCAGAAACACAGGUGGUGCAUGGUUGUCGUCAGCUCGUGUCGUGAGAUGUUAGGUUAAGUCCUAAAACGAGCGAAACCCUUAUCGUUAGUUGCCAGCACGUUAUGGUGGGGACUUUAACGAGACUGCCAAUGAUAAAUUGGAGGAAGGUGAGGAUCACGUCAAAUCAGCAUGCCCCUUAUGACCUGGGCUACAAACGUGAUACAAUGGCUGUUACAAAGAGUAGCUGAA
rnacentral:rRNA from 1 species